AUAAAAAAUAGAUUAAAAGAUAAUAAUAAGAUUAGCAGAGAUAGAGUCUGCUACAAAUGUCCUUGGCCACUCGCAUUUAUAGAAAAGGUGUGAGUUCCAAAUGCAAUAUGGUUCAAUCGGAUCGCCUGUUGGUGCAACUCUCGAUUAUGCACAGGCUGUCCCUAAGAAGCCAGUGAUUGUCGAUAAGGCGAUAAUAUAUCAAUGAUAUUAAAUUCAAACCGGUUAUUGCCUCAAUCAGGAAUGAUAUUGCGGUGGUGCUAAUGCUUCGUUGAGGUGAUUGUUCAUAAAGAUGAAACCAGCAAAGAAUUGCUUGUAUGGGGCUCCAGGGUUUCUUCUGCAAAUAGUCGUCCUCCCAAUCCUCACUAAACUUCAUAUAAUCUGAUCUUAAUGUCUUGAACUUGAUGUUAGUGGUGUCAAAA